AUGCUUUUAUCCAUAAAUCAUCAGAGAAAGUGAAGAAUGGAAAGGGAUUAACUCAGAUACAUAUCUGGAAACCGAAGAGACCUACUUCCCAUGGAGCAGCUGAGGCUGGCAUGCUCCUGGAAAAUGCAUAUGGUAGGAAGCAGAAGAAGCAAGUGAGAAUGUCACUUGAAAUCUGUAGGAGUCUGCGGGUGGAGGAGAACCUGAGCUGCUGAGAUGAGCUGAGAAAGGACAGGAAACAUUCAGAGAGAAUGUCACCAACUAGGAAGAUCUAUACUUUUUCAAAGAUCUUCUUCAGAAGGCAUGUGAACAAAUAUUCUGGCAUGAGGACAUCUGCUUUGAUAUCAGCUUUGAGGACAGAAAUAUGUUAUUACCAACAAAUACAUGUCUUUUAAAAAUUUAUUUAUUUUUGAGUUACAUGUAUUUUAUAAAAUUCUAAGUUAAUUUGCAGACAUGGAUAUCUGAAAUCAUAAUUAUUCAACUGUAUUUUUGUCUUGGCUAUAAGGCUGACAUAUUUGUAGGAGAAAUAAAUUACACACAAAC
ensembl:lncRNA